rnacentral:rRNA from 1 species
CACUAAAGCACCGGAUCCCAUCAGAACUCCAAAGUUAAGCGUG